rnacentral:rRNA from 1 species
CCUACGGGAGGCAGCAGUGAGGAAUAUUGGUCAAUGGACGAGAGUCUGAACCAGCCAAGUAGCGUGAAGGAUGACUGCCCUAUGGGUUGUAAACUUCUUUUAUAUGGGAAUAAAAUGUUCCACGUGUGGGAUUUUGUAUGUACCAUAUGAAUAAGGGUCGGCUAACUACGUGCCAGCAGCCGCGGUAAUAAGGAGGAUCCGAGCGUUAUCCGGAUUUGAUGGGUUUAAAGGGAGCGUAGGUGGAUUGUUAAGUCAGUUGUGAAAGUUUGCGGCUCAACCGUAAAAUUGCAGUUGAAACUGGCAGUCUUGAGUACAGUAGAGGUGGGCGGAAAUCGUGGUGUAGCGGUAAAAUGCUUAGAUAUCACGAAGAACUCCGAUUGCGAAGGCAGCUCACUGGACUGCAACUGACACUGAGGCUCGAAAGUGUGGGUAUCAAACAGGAUUAGAUACCCCAGUAGUC